rnacentral:rRNA from 1 species
ACGCCGCGUGGGUGAGGAAGGCCUUCGGGUUGUAAAGCCCUGUCAGGAGUUAAGAAAUGUAAGUGCGCUAAUAUCGCAUUUACUUGACGAAGGCUCCAAAGGAAGCCACGGCUAACUCUGUGCCAGCAGCCGCGGUAAUACAGAGGUGGCAAGCGUUGUUCGGUAUUAUUGGGCGUAAAGAGCACGUAGGUGGUUUUGUAAGUCAGAUGUGAAAGCCUUCUGUUCAAAGGAAGAACGGCAUCUGAAACUGCAAAUCUUGAGUGUANANNGGAGAGUGGAACUUCUGGUGGAACGGUGAAAUGCGUAGAUAUCAGAAGGAACGUCGGCGGCGAAAGCGACUCUCUGGCCUAUUACUGACACUGAGUGUGCGAAAGUUAGGGGAGCAAACGGGAUUAGAUACCCCGGUAGUCCUAACCGUAAACGAUGGGCACUAAGUAGAGGGGCAUU